UGGUCUUGACAUCCACAGAACUUUCCAGAGAUGGAUUGGUGCCUUCGGGAACUGUGAGACAGGUGCUGCAUGGCUGUCGUCAGCUCGUGUUGUGAAAUGUUGGGUUAAGUCCCGCAACGAGCGCAACCCUUAUCCUUUGUUGCCAGCGGUCCGGCCGGGAACUCAAAGGAGACUGCCAGUGAUAAACUGGAGGAAGGUGGGGAUGACGUCAAGUCAUCAUGGCCCUUACGACCAGGGCUACACACGUGCUACAAUGGCGCAUACAAAGAGAAGCGACCUCGCGAGAGCAAGCGGACCUCAUAAAGUGCGUCGUAGUCCGGAUUGGAGUCUGCAACUCGACUCCAUGAAGUCGGAAUCGCUAGUAAUCGUGGAUCAGAAUGCCACGGUGAAUACGUUCCCGGGCC
rnacentral:rRNA from 1 species